UUAUAUUUUGCAAAUAUUUUGGGAGACAUUGGUUUUCCUGCCCGUGCUCCCCCGUUCUUGCCUGCGGAGUGCGCUGCGCCGCCCAGCCCUGUCGCCCCCCGGAGGUGAUCCCUCCCUCCUGCCUGCCCGCCAGCCUGUCCUGUGCCUGGCUCCCGGGCCUC
rnacentral:other from 1 species